GGAUGCGAUGGUGUAGUUGCAGCACGGCUCGAUCGAGCAGGUCAUGGGUUCGAAUCCCUGUCCAUCCA